rnacentral:rRNA from 1 species
GACGAACGCUGGCGGCGUGCUUAACACAUGCAAGUCGAACGGAAAGGCCCUGCUUUUGUGGGGUGCUCGAGUGGCGAACGGGUGAGUAACACGUGAGUAACCUGCCCUUGACUUUGGGAUAACUUCAGGAAACUGGGGCUAAUACCGGAUAGGAGCUCCUGCUGCAUGGUGGGGGUUGGAAAGUUUCGGCGGUUGGGGAUGGACUCGCGGCUUAUCAGCUUGUUGGUGGGGUAGUGGCUUACCAAGGCUUUGACGGGUAGCCGGCCGGAGAGGGUGACCGGCCACAUUGGGACUGCGAUACGGCCCAGACUCCUACGGGAGGCAGCAGUGGGGAAUAUUGCACAAUGGGCGGACGCCUGAUGCAGCAACGCCGCGUGCGGGAUGACGGCCUUCGGGUUGUAAACCGCUUUCGCCUGUGACGAAGCGUGAGUGACGGUAAUGGGUAAAGAAGCACCGGCUAACUACGUG